AGAUUGAAAGGCUUGUCUCUUGUGAUAAGAAAGACCUUUCAAAAAAAAAAUGCUAGGGAGGAAAGGGAUGUGGAUUAUUUAUCGAUGGAUCCUUCGAUAUUACGAUCAUAUGAGAGGAUUGAUAAGAAGAAUGGCCAAAGGUUUAUAAGAUUAAACAAAUUUAACUUUAUUGUCAUCAAGGAAAGGAAACUAGAAGUAGUUGAGACUUCACUUUAUACGUGGUAAUUCCUAUUGCAUUGGCUUUGUGUCCCGAUAGUGAUGAAUAUUAGAGAUAUUAUUUCUAUUUAAUGUUGCUCAAAGUGCCAUCAAGGGAUUUGGGAUUUUAAUACGGGUGUGUAUCAAGGGAUCUGGGUUUUUAAUAACUUUUUAGAUAUGAUGGAUAUUCAAGAUUUUCCUUGUUUGGAUAGAGUGUUCACUUUAUUCCAAUAGAAUGUGAGAGUUAUGAACUGCUUAGACCAUAUAAUGGUGCUUGUGGGCCGGUUGGAUUUUUGGGCUCCUUCGCAAUGAUCAAUGUCGAGGGGAAAAUUUUAUCUUAUACCCCUACAUUUAUUCUUAUAUUCCUAUAUUUUAUAAAAAAUAUCAAUUUUAU
rnacentral:lncRNA from 1 species